GACAGAGGGUGCAACCGUUGUUCGGAAUCACUGGGCUUAAAGCGUGUGUAGGCGGAUCGUUAAGUGUCUUGUGAAAUCCCACGGCUCACCCGUGGAACUGCUGGGCAUACUGGCGAUCUUGGGCCAACUAGGGGCAACUGGAACAAGCGGUGGAGCGGUGAAAUGCGUAGAUAUCGCUUGGAACGCCAAAGGUGAAAACAGGUUGCUGGGGUUGUGCCGACGCUGAGACACGAAAGCCAGGGGAGCAAACGGG
rnacentral:rRNA from 1 species